GCAGCCUGUGUGGGGACAAAGGAGGGUAUCAAUCCUUAUCUGUUGCAGCUGCUCCUUUUUGAAGACCUCUAUUCUUAUCUUUGGUUCUUAGACAUUUCUCUCUCCCCUUUCACAGAGAUCACCCAAGGCAGACAAGGAAUGAAGAAAGAAAAAGAGGCAGGAGGUGAUGUGGCUUCGUGACUCUGAUAUGCAGCAAAAAUAAACAGGACAUGAAAAACCAGAAGAUAAAGUGCAACGGCCCAGCAUAUGCACUCAAUAUUGAGGAACACAGAGAUGCUCAGAAUAAAUUGACAAGGCCCUGGGCAAACCACAUCAUGAUCUAGAGAUAGUCAACGCAUUAAUUAAAGACAAUCCUACAGCAACUGUUCCUCUGCAAGUGAGAAUGCAGCCAUCUCCACUCAGCUCGGAGUCCCAGGUAACACAGCCCUGCUUCUGAUAGGAUCUGCUGCUCUGCUUCUGCACUGGGGGUUCUCUGACCCCCCUCGGCCCACUAAAAGCUCAGCAUGGAGAACGCAGACUUUCGGUUCAAAACAAAAUCAUCCCCACAGUUACAUAUUAAUAUUAAAUCUG
ensembl:lncRNA